AUUUUUAACUCCAACACUAUCUGCUUUCAGUCUGGAAGACGAUGCUUCUUGUUUACAGCCUGCAGAUCCUGGAAUCCACAGGUACAGUUCAUCACCUCCACCUUCAUUACUUGGGCCCAAAACUGUCCUUGGCUUUUGGGGUGGUGAUAAACUGUGCCUCAUAGUUGAUCCAAAUACAAAGAAUGAUGCGUAAUGGAAACAAAUGGAGCCUCCACAAUAUUCUAAUAUAAUAAAAGCUGUAGCGCUUC